AGCAGCAUUGUACAGGGCUAUCA
rnacentral:ncRNA from 45 species